rnacentral:rRNA from 1 species
UACGUAGGGUCCGAGCGUUGUCCGGAAUUACUGGGCGUAAAGAGCUCGUAGGUGGUUUGUCGCGUUGUCCGUGAAAACUCACAGCUCAACUGUGGGCGUGCGGGCGAUACGGGCAGACUGGAGUACUGCAGGGGAGACUGGAAUUCCUGGUGUAGCGGUGGAAUGCGCAGAUAUCAGGAGGAACACCGGUGGCGAAGGCGGGUCUCUGGGCCGAUAUUGACGCUGAGGAGCGAAAGCGUGGGGAGCGAACAGG